CGCGCUGCGCUCGGGGCCGCGUGGCCUCUCCUCGGCGGGGCGGCGUGCCCGCGCACAGCGCCGUGUUGCCGGCUGCAGGCCGGGCGCCCGUCGUCGCUUUCGUGCUCUCGGUGAUCACCUCCGUCCCCCCACGGCCUUCGGACACCGUGUGCGCAAAGCGGUCCGUGUGAUGAGGAGCGAGGCACGUUGGAGUGUGUGCUGCAGUUGCCAGAGGAGUGGUGGGAGCUCUCAAGAUGCGGGUGCCACCACAGCCGUGCAGCUGCCAGCAGGGCAGUGUGAAUGUGGAGGUGUGCUCUCUUCGUGGUACUGCAUGGCUCCAAAAUCCUACCCAGACUAACAGGGAGUAAAUAUGUUGUCGAUUACUCCUGGAUGUCCUAGAGGGACGAGAGUGGUACUGGUUUGAGUUCACUUCAGAACAGUGCACCUGUAUACAUCCCUGACCCAGCUCUCCUUUAGCUACCAAACCAGCAGCUGGGACAGCCAGGAGGAAAAUUAAGCUGUGAACUGGAAUUCCAUCAGGCUGUCUGCUGCGAAGCCCUGCGGCUUUAGCAAACAGGCAGCAGUGGUCAGAAAUGACACUCAAAAGAAAGUGGCAUGUAACUCAUAGAGGACUUCCAGCUCCUGUGAAAGAGGGAGAGGAUAUUUCUGUUCUGCAGUCUUCACAUCUAAGGAGAACUGUCUGCAUUAAUAACAAGUACCUCCACUUGGAAAUUAUUUACAUGAAACAUUGUUCUCACGUCACUGCUACUGACAGCGGCUCCGGACUGGGUGAGAGCAGGACACCGUGAUGAAUUCACCCGUACCUACCUUACUGUGCUGCGUGAGACGAGGAGAGCUCGAGGACUUCAGAGCAAGUUUAAAACCUUAAUUCCUGAAUAAUACCUCCACCUGCCUCCUGGUUUUCUUUGGGGACGUUCCAGUGCUGGCCAGACCUGACCCUAUCUGACUUCAGGGACAAUCCCAGUGUCUCAGGCUCGGAAAAAUGAGUGGAACAGUGACUGGAAAUGAAAAAGGAUGCUGCAGCCACAGUGACUGAAGUGAGAGAUGUUUGUGCUAAAAGCACUGAAGGGGCACUCAGCAAGGCUGACCACGGGUGCUGUGAAAGCACUGCCUGACCACGGUAACACCUCCAUCAGGUGCAGAGCUCCAGGAACAGGUGAGUUAAAAAAAAUAUGGCAUCACUGACAUUCAUCAAUGCUUGCUGAACACUUACGGAGAUCAACCAGUGAAUGUGGGUGCAGUGAGGCAGCGGGUGGUGUGUGUCAGCAGUAGCAACAGCGACAGCAAGUCACCUCCGCUGGUGCAGAUUUCUGCAAGCGUGGCACACAGGCUCUUGUUCAAUGCUGGUGAAAAUGCAGAACUAACGGUGGUGACCAUGUUGAAGAAUAGUGUUUGUCACUGGUAAUUUGCUCUAUCAGCUAGUGCUACUGUGCUCUUUGUAGAUCUGUCUCUACAUACAGGGAUAUAUGGAUAUAUAGAGAGACAAAUGCAUAUGUAUGUGUGUGUCACACUACAUGUCUCCGUAUAAAGAAAGACCUAUCAAUACGUCUGUAUGUUAACUUGCAGUGCGUUGCAGGAGUGAGGCGCUUGCUGUAGGGUGCGGUGCCCAGGGCUGUGGCACUGCCAUGGCUCAUAGCCUUGUGGGGCACAGCAGGUGGCAUUGGUUUACACAACAACGUGCAGGGCGGAUGGUGGGAGCCCUGCCUGCAGCACAGAGCUGCGUAUGGGAGCAGGGGGACACAGGCAGCAGGACUGUGUAUGCAGCUCAGGGCUGGCGGGUUCCCACAUCUGGUAAGGGAGGUCAAAGGAAGUCCUCAAAGUAAAUUUAAAAGUACAUUUAAAAUGUGCACAUGUAGCAGCAGCACAGUCAGCAGAGCUGUUAAGCAGGUAUGUCACAUUGAAACCGGUCUCCUGCAGGCACCAGCAGAGCUGCUGUGGUGCGGGCAUGCUCCCGGAGGCAGUCAGGUGGCAGCCAGCACCCAGAGGGACAGUACCUUCCUGUCGCUGUCACUGCUGCUUGCUCUGUGCUUACUGCACCGCUGAACCGCCUCCCUGUGUCUUAGCACUGAGAAAAAUGAAUGGGAGCUUUGCCUCCUCUGCACUAAGAUCUGAGGGCAGCAGGUGUGCUUUGCACAGCCGAACCAGCAACAGCUCGGGAUGCACAGCCCACCAUGCCUGCAGGGCCCAGGCUGGGGACACACCUGCCCUCGCCCCACUCCGUCACCAUGGUCCUGCUGUGCAGGGUGCUGGCCAUGCGCGCUUGCCCUGUGUCCUCCUGCGUCCAUUUUCCCUUUCUUUUUGCAUCAAGGCUUUGUGAUGAAAUUUUAUCCCAGUACGUUUAAAGCAGAGACAGCUGUGAGUAGCUGUUAAAUAGACACAGAGAAGACCUUGGUCCAAAAUAUGUGUGUUCAACACAGCGCUUUAGCUAUGAGUUGUUCUACGAGACCGCAAAAAUGAAGAAACCCAAACAUAUUAAUUGUUGGAAAUGGGAACACUCUCGUUGUAAAGGCAGGCAUCCUCCUGGAGGUCUCACUCACACGUCGCAGCGAUUGCUCAGCUGCUGAAGCGCCUUUAUCUCGGCACACUUAUUUGGGAGCGGUACAUCUGACACACGGUUUUGGUUUAUUAUGUAAUGCUUCAGUAAGAAGUAAAUGCAAAUUACCAAUAAUGAUCCUUAUAAUUUGAAACAUAACCAAAACCAAACUUUUUGAGCACAGAAAUGGAGAUUUUUUUGUUGUUUGUCACAUCUCACGAGUUAGUUAGUCUGAAUGUGAGACACACAUUAAGGAGUUCACGUUCAGUGUGAGCAGGCCAAACAAAGAAAUACAACAAAUCGCCCCCUGCCCCCCAUCUCAGAACGUGGCAUUAAAACCACAUGGAUUUGAAAUUCUUGUUCUUAUACUCAAAAUUGCAUUAGCAGAUUUUGACCUCAAGACUAAGGCACGUUACGUGUGUGAAGGGCCCAGCACCGCUGCUGCGAUCCACAGCACCGCUCCCGCGUAGCGCCCGAGUGAGGCCCUGCUGAUGUAAUAGCGGCCCGCAUAUGUCUCGUAUUAAUGGUAUUUUCCUAACAGUAACAGCAUUAAAGCCUGCCUACCUGGCUAUUGAGUUACCCUAUUUAGGGUAAUUUGCCCAAAAGCCUAUCCUUGAGCAUGUGAACAACCGUAUCAUUUUAUAACACUUAACUUUAAGACAUCAGAAAUCAAAGCAGGCCGACAGUCUGAUUCCAGAACUAGUCGUUUUCCAUUUUUUUUUUUUUAAAAUUCUGUUGUGUUUCUUGAAUAAUUUAUUAUCUGGAUUUUUGUUGUAUUUUCCACAUGGAAUUGAUGAAGAAAAAUUCUUUUCUUUUCUAAAGAAAGUUCGGAUGAGCGAAAAUUCACACAUGGAAAACAAAUGAGCGUCGGGAAGCACUCCUCAUAGCUAAUGGCUACUUGGUAUGGCGCCAGAAUUCAUACAGAUCCUUAAAAUCAAGUAAAUUAUGCCCGCAGUGAUAGCUCCCCUUUGCUGGAGUCCCACAACAAGCACCAAAUGGUGGAGCGGUGCAGAACUGCCAAAUUCCGUGUUUCACCUCCCGGUUCCUUUCAUUAAGCAGCCUCGUUCCCAGCAGAAGGGCCCAUGCAUUUUUUAUGGCUCUCCUCCCAGCCCCGUGUGCUGGGCCCGAUCCUGCCCAUGGCACGGGGCUCUGAGGGCAGUGCCUACCGCGGGGUCAGCGUGUCAGUGAAUGGCAGCGGUGAUGGCAAUCAGACACACGCGUCUUCGCUACGCACCCCACUGAUGGGAAUGGAAAGAAUUGGGUCUUGCAAAGGAAAUAAUCGUAAAACAAAAGCAUUAUUCUCUCGUUCCGCUCUUUUGAUAAGAUCGCUCGCUGAACUCAGGGGUUAGGAAAUGUGCCACUCGCCAUGCGCCAGAUUAAAAACUGCUGAAUUCUGUGCUAGAAAAUUCGGCUGGAUUACACAAAUAUCUGUUAAGAUGAGGAUAAAUAUUUAUAAACAAUCUUCCUUGCAGAACAUGUCUCCAUCAUUCAUUUCCCUGCGAUGAAAAAUCUGGAACAAUGGAACUAAUGACUACAUUGUUCCAAAGUUAAAUCGUAUAUCUAAUAAGGAAAAUACUAAAAUGAGCCAAAUUCUUUAUGAACACAACAGUGAAGCAAUUAAAAUAAAUGUGAUUUUCCAGAUCAAAACUUCUGGCUGUUAAUUGCUAGAUGGCACCUAUCCUAGUCAUAUGAGUUUCCCUCGCAGCUGUUUUUAUUUCACGAUACAUUCUGGGCUCCCCAGAGCCGUGUUGAGCUCGGACGUGGCGGCAGCGCGCCCGGACAGCUGUGCGGGGCUGCAGGGCUCAUGGACGCGCUGCUGGGACAGGGCUCGGGCCAGGCGUGCUCUUGCUGCUUGCCCUUUGCUUGCCCCGUGUUUCCAGUGGGCACGCAUGUGGCUUGCUGCCACACUGCGGCGUGCCCACACCAAGCACACAGUGCUGUGCCCACACAACUGCAGCGGGAGCAGAGCGUUUCGGGGGAUGUGUUUCAGUCAUACGCUUUGUCCUAAUCACGGCAGCUGGCUGAGCUCAUAACCCUACCUCUUCACUCUCGGCAUUUGACAUUUAUUUUUUUAAAUUUGUUUAUGGGUGCCUUGCACAGCAGCAGUGGGGCAGGGGGCUGCAGUCCCGGCAGCGCCAGGGCUCUUUAACCCACCCCACCCCAGAGCUGAAACUGCACACUGGAGAUCUGGCACGCUCCAACCAGCUUUACUUGAAGCUGCACUUUGGUAUCUGUAGGUUAUUAAUGAGAUUAAAGAACUCCGUUACAGGGAAUGACAACUGCAGUUUGUCCAACAUUAAGCAGAUAUUGGCAUCCUUAGGUGUGAGUUGGGAAGCAAUGAUCUCAGAUAUUGAACGAGCUAAAGCCAUGAGCAAUAUGAUAUUGAUUAGACAAUGGGUAUUGUAUUUACCCACAUAGCUUUAUUGGGUGAGGCUCAAUGUGAUGUGUUUUUAUUUGGGAAACUUAAGGAAGAUAAUUAAAAAUGCUGUAAGGAGAGCCCAGCAGCCUUUGUGCUUUGCUUUUUAAAGGCUACAGAUGUCCUGUCUUCUUUCUUUAAAACGGCAUGCGCUCCCUCUCCACCUUCCAAAAGAUCAAGGGUAAUAAUAACAACAAUAAUAAUACAGUGUCCUGGAAUUUUUCUACAUGCCUCAAGAGAACUUUAAUUUUUUCCAGAAACUGUUUUCUGACAACAGCCGUCUUGUGGACUUUUCCUGUUCCCCAGUCUGCAUUUCCAGUGCUGCUGCGGCCAAGUUAAAAUGGUGUCUUUUGGAUACAGGGCCUUUUAUGUAGAAAACCCUUCUUGUGUUGAACAAAACCAUGCUGAUGAAAGGAAGGAGCAGCACAGCACAGAGACACAGGGGUGCAGGGAGCAGCUUUCCCCACUACGGAGCAGGGAAGGAGGGAGGUGA